UAUACUUUUGUUUGGCAUUCUUUAGCAUGACAAGCUUCGAAUUGUGCUACCAUUCACCUAAACAAAAUUCACUAUUGUAGUGAUGAGUGUGGUGUACAUUUCUUGAAAUAAAUAGUUAUAAUAAGUUUUUUCUAGCAUCUACUCACGAACUGCAUAGAUAGUUUUCAGUUAUCUACUAAUUUUGCCUGCAUACAAGGAGCGCGAUUUUGCAGAGUUGCAGUGGCCCUGUUUGCCUGUGCAUAAGGGCAGUUUUUGCAAUUAGAUUUAGCAUUUUUGCUUGGUAAAAUCCCCACUCUAAUUCCCACAUUGAGUACUUAUUUGUAUCUCUUUUCAGGCCAAUGAGAACCUGACCAGAAAAUAAAACGACAAUGCAUUGCACCUUGUGCAUACAUUUUCGCUGUUGACAGUUCACCUCACGGAAAGAAGAAGCAAACCAAGGAAUUGUUUCCCCCAAAUGAGCCAUCGCCUUUGAUCAGGUGCCCGCCGAAUAGACAUUGCCGUCUUUAUAUCUGCUAGAUAGUAUUGUGAAGAACAUAGGACGAGAAUACAUAGCGCAGUUUAAUAUGUAGUGUCUGGUUGUUAGUGAGGUCUGACAUAUGAUGGGCUUUACCGAAUUUGAGAGAAAUUUCAAGAAUUAUAUCAUGUACUAAUUGUGAUCUGAUGCAUCCGGUGGUACGUGGACCUGUAGGAUGGAUACUUGGCCGAGCUGGAGAAGCUGCAGGGGCAGACCGAUGCGGAGAAUACCCAGCACACGGAGUUUGGUGCAUGGUGGCCAGCGACAAGCUCAGUGAGCAGGGAUGUCGGUCUGCGAGCAAGAGCACGGAGCACCGACAUGUGAUGAUUGGGGUUCACCCAAACCCACGGGUGGAUAGUUGGGAUACUGCUAGUGCGAUGCUGUUGCUCCAUGAUAUUAAUAUGAAUAUGAAUCUGUUGUCUGUAUGAUACUGCUGGUCUUGCGAUGGAUGUUUUCUGUAUGAUAUGAAUAUGAAUCUGUUGUCAGUGUCUUUCUUGUA